ACAUUCAGUAUUAUAUUAGUUGCAGGUGUACAGCACAGUGGUUAGGCAUUUACAUAGUUUACAAAGCCUCCCCCCAAAGUCAUCCAGCUGAGUGUUCCCUGGAAUGCAGUGGGCACUCGUUUAUAACUUCAGGCCCAGCGUUUGGAUUCUUUGUGUGUUUUUGACUCUUUUUUGGGUGGUGGUGGUGGUGGUGAGAUUGCUUAAGAUCUGCUCUCUUCCCAAAUUUCAAGUAUAUAACAAUACAGUAGUGCCUCCCCAUUCCCUCCACCUGCUGGCCCUGUGCCCACCAUUCUCCUCUCCACCUUCUGUUUCUAUAGCUUGCUUUUUUUUUUUUUACAUUCCUCAUAUAAGUGAGAUCACACAGUAUUUGUCUUUCUGUCUAGCUUAUCUUCCUUCGAAUGGUGCCCUCCAUCCAUGUUGUCACAGUGGCAGGCUUGCUUUCUUUCUCGUGGUUGGUGCUGUCUCACUGUGUGUAUGCAGCAGGCCUUCUUCACCCCCUCACCCCUCACCAGACACAAGGUCACUUCCCGUGCUGUCUGUUAUGAAUCCUGCUGCAUGAACAUGGGAGGGCAGCUCUCUCUUCAUGACACUGGUUUCACAUCCUUCGGAAUUACACUCCAAAGUGGGGCUGCUAGAUCACAUGGUAAUUCUAUUUGUAGUUGUUUGGAAAACUCCCUUCCGUGUUCCAUGGCGGCUGCACCAACUUACGUUCCCAGCAGCACCCCCACCAGCCGUGCUGUCUCCUGUCUGUUUGACAACAGCCACUCCAGUGUGCGAGGUGAGGUCUCACUGUGGCCUGAUUGGCAUGUCCCUGGUGAUUCAUGAUGUCGAGCACCUUUCAUACACCUGCUGACCAUUGGUCUGACUUCUUUGGGAAAAUGUCUCAUCAGGUCCUUUGCCCAUUUUUUAAUUGGAUUAUCAGGGGGAGGAGUGUUUGUUUCUUAUGUGUGUUUUUUUUAAGUCCUACCUGGGACUCAACAUGAUUUCUCGCUGAGCAGGGCUGCCAAUGAGAACUGGGCAUUAUCACCACAUCAGUCCUUAACCCAAGGACGAGAGCCAGGGAGCUUUGCCGAAGGAAAAAGUUCUGCCCAGGGUUGCACGGCAGCCACCACGUAAAUAGGCGGUGAACCUGCUCAGAUGGGAGGUCUCCGUCGCAGGGCAGAGAGGAGAGCCUGAGGACAGACAGGUGGGUGCGAUGCCCUAAACAUCAAGAACCGCCUUUCCUGUCACAGUCCCAGCAGGGCUGCCGGGUCCCAGCAGGGGUGCCCAGAUGUCACCGUUCAACAAGCCCAAAGCUGUGCCUUCUCACCAGGCAGCCAGAGCCAUUCCUGGUUCGCCCAGCCCACCGGCAGCCCACCAGCCACGGGCAGGCUUCCCAGACGCUGUGUUGCCUGGUAACCCAGCCAGCAUUCAUUCCAUCCAGUUUCCAGGCCACAGAGCCUGAGAGUUAACUCAAGGUCUGCUUUUUUGGUUUUUUUACAGAAAGCAGGAGAAAAUGCUUUGUUAACCUUCACUCACGCAUCCCAUUCCUGACCCCUCUGAGCUCCCAAAAGCUUAUCAGAAGCCACCAGUGAGCGACCUCGGAUGCCCCUAAACUCAGUGUGUACAAGACCCAGAUUGUAGAUACACAGAUAAAGGAUGAGCAACACCACAAGUCCAGAAAUAACUGUAUAGCAAAUAAACAGAGGAGAAACCAACAUUUACAGACUGACGUCUAUGAGGCGGCAGGUGUCUGUCCUGCUACCUCCCCCCACUGCGCCCAGGUGUGGCUGUGACGUUUCUGCCCCUGCAACCCAGCCUGCAGCCUCGCUUCCUGCUGUUCGCCCACCUCAGGCAAACCCCAGCGGCCCUGACCCGCAGGAGCUCCUACUGGACGGAAGGCAGCCAAAUUUGGACGGUUUCAGGGAGAACGUCGGGUGUUGGAGACGGAGAUAAAACAGCCAGACUCCUGUCUAGCAAACCGAUGUGAUCGCCCGGGGUGUAAAGAACUGCCUACACUGUCUCAGCGCUUUGCACACCCUUUCCGACUCAGGGUACGCUGCUUUCAGGGCGACUUGCCCGGGUAGGAGGCCAAGCAUGCGGAGCCUCCUUGAGUUGGGCUGAUGAAAACAAGAUAAAUACUUCUGACUGUUUUCAUUGUUAAUAAAACAAAUUAAACAUCAGUGAUGUCUACCAA